UACGUAGGGUGCAAGCGUUAAUCGGAAUUACUGGGCGUAAAGCGUGCGCAGGCGGUUUUGUAAGUCUGUCGUGAAAUCCCCGGGCUCAACCUGGGAAUGGCGAUGGAGACUGCAAGGCUAGAGUUUGGCAGAGGGGGGUAGAAUUCCACGUGUAGCAGUGAAAUGCGUAGAUAUGUGGAGGAACACCGAUGGCGAAGGCAGCCCCUGGGUCAAAACUGACGCUCAUGCACGAAAGCGUGGGGAGCAAACAGG
rnacentral:rRNA from 1 species